GAAAUGCGAUAAGUAAUGUGAAUUACAGAAUUCAGUGAAUCAUCGAAUCUUUGAACGCACAUUGCGCUCGCCAGUAUUCUGGCGAGCAUGCCUGUUCGAGCGUCAUUUCAACCAUCAAGCUCUGCUUGCGUUGGGGAUCCGCGGCUGCCCGCGGUCCCUCAAAAACAGUGGCGGGCUCGCUAGUCACACCGAGCGUAGUAACUCUACAUCGCUAUGGUCGUGCGGCGGGUUCUUGCCGUAAAACCCCCAAUUUCUAAGGUUGACCUCGGAUCAGGUAGGAAUACCCGCUGAACUUAAGC
rnacentral:misc_RNA from 1 species